rnacentral:piRNA from 1 species
UAAAGCAAGUAGCAAGAGUGCAAUUGGU